UAAUUAAAAAUUCGGAAAAAAUCAGAAAAAAUUAAAGAAACUUGGGAAGAAUCAGAAAAAAAUUCAGAAUCAAUCUAGGAUGGUGUCACUCUAGUUGCAUAUCACAAAAUGCUUCCAGGGCCAUGGAAAGAUGCGGUGACCCUCUAAUUCAGGGAAAUGAAAAAGAAUUGAUUCAAUUCAUAAUCUCUAUCGCGUGACACUCGGUGACAUGCACAAAGUGCAGCGUACUCUACUCUCCGACUGAAAUCCUCAAAAAUUUUCCAAAAGGGCGUACAAGACACAAGGAGUGCCCCGAUUCCAACAGGUUACCUGCAUCUCGGGGGCCUCCAUACAGCUCUGUGCAACAUGGUGCAGCUAUAUAUCAGCUAUUCAAACAAAGGAAAUUACAUCGUACGCUUAAAAGACACAGAUCAAACAGGACUCGUACCAGAUGCUGCUGGUAAACUCCAAGUGAAGCAAAGAGAAUCAUACUGCGUCAGUUUCAAGGUACAAGAAACAUGUAUGACUGGUGAUUCAACUCGAAAAGGAUAACUGGGUUCAUAAUAUCACCGAGCAUAUCUAUGGAGCAUAACUGUAGGUGCUACAGCAAGAUGAGAGGGAUGUAGGCAAGGUGUUGUUGCAUAAUAUCAGUAUCUUUUAUGAAUAAUAUAAGCAUGAUCUCUAUUUUGGUUUCAGUUUUUUAUUUCGAAUGCAAGGAUGUUCUAAUCGAAUGAUCGUAGACCAACCCAGAGAAAGAGACUCUGACGAUGAGGUUGUACUGAAGGGAGAAUUGCCACCGCUCCUUCAACUUGCAGAUUCGAUUCGCAAAAUCCUGAGUGGAGGAUGAUAAACCGAUUCCUGUGCGCUAUUCAUCCGGUAUCAGCACUUUCUGACGAGCAUCUCUUUACCUAGAACAGGAAGUGUGCUUACACCUGCAAGUUUAAAAAUUGCAAAAUAAUUAUCAUACACAUGCAUAGCUUUGAAUAGUUGAUGUAUGCGAAUAAGUCUUCAUGUAAUGUAUUCAUAAGUUCUAUUCAUUUGAAUUACUGGGGCAAUAUUGUAUCAUUGAAAUGAACAUUGUACAUCUUGUGAAAGAUAUUGCAAAGUUUUCUAUAAUUAUUUGAAUAAUGUAUGUAUGCUGAAUGUAUUCCUUGCAUAACUCAUGAAUAAAUGAUGGGCUUUUUUCAAACUG
rnacentral:lncRNA from 1 species